AAACACAAGGUCGACGUUACCAGCCCCUCCCCACCUCCUCCCACAGCCACCACCGACAGCUCGCACGAUCCCCCGUAUCACAAGGAAGUGCCGCACCUAUUCUGACGGCGUGCUCGUAUGCGUGUGUCUGCGUGGUGGUCUGUGGGCACGCCGUUCUGCACUUGGAAACAGGCUUUGCACAGCAUCUCGUCGACGUGGAGCUAAACUCGCCUUAGCUGAACCAGCAGAACCGCAUGGACGCGUGUCGUGCGCUUGUCGCGCUCAGUGGGCAAGUGCGCAGUGCGGUUUACUUUUUAUUCGCUUCCUGCUCUUGCCGAGCUGCGCAGACGCGAGCAUGCUAAGAGCGUGUGGUGGAUGCAUUCACGUUCUCCCCUAACACACACUCUGCACCCUCUCUCUCCCUCCCUACACCCCACCGUAUCUUGUACUCUUUUGGUGAUUCAUCGCCGAGUCACACGUCGUCGGCCAAUACGCACUCCUGAGUUCCUUUUAAAUAUAAAUAUAUAUAUAUAUAUUGCAUUCUCGCGUUCAUUUCACCACGCAAUCAAAAAUACUCUCGCCCCUCUCCUCUUCCCCCAACACACACAACAUAAG
rnacentral:misc_RNA from 1 species